rnacentral:rRNA from 1 species
AGCGAACGCUGGCGGCAGGCUUAACACAUGCAAGUCGAGCGGGCACCUUUCGGGGUGUCAGCGGCGGACGGGUGAGUAACGCGUGGGAACGUGCCCUCUGGUUCGGAAUAACUCAGGGAAACUUGAGCUAAUACCGGAUACGCCCUUUUGGGGAAAGGCUUGCUGCCGGAGGAUCGGCCCGCGUCUGAUUAGCUAGUUGGUGAGGUAACGGCUCACCAAGGCGACGAUCAGUAGCUGGUCUGAGAGGAUGAUCAGCCACACUGGGACUGAGACACGGCCCAGACUCCUACGGGAGGCAGCAGUGGGGAAUAUUGGACAAUGGGCGCAAGCCUGAUCCAGCCAUGCCGCGUGAGUGAUGAAGGCCUUAGGGUUGUAAAGCUCUUUUAUCCGGGACGAUAAUGACGGUACCGGAGGAAUAAGCCCCGGCUAACUUCGUGC